rnacentral:lncRNA from 1 species
AUGCUCCCAUCAGGUUUUCAAGCCGGUGUUGCAACGAGGCCCCGGCUGCCCUCUGGAUCGUUCCCUCCAAGCUGUCUGCGGACUCAGGGAGACGUCACCGGGCAGGCGGGCGGCGUUUCGCAUGCACUGGACAGUUCUCCGAGAGAGGCGACCCCGACGCCUCCUUCCAACAGCGCGAUUCUGCAGAGGCUGCAGGUGCCGCGUGGCCACGUGUCUCGCGUGGCCCCAGCCUGGCGAGGGCAGAGGGUGGCUGGCGGCAGCGCCGGCCGGGAAGCACCGCGGCGAGCCGGCACCGGGCUCGGCUGCCGACUGCUCCACUCUGGGCCACAGAACAGGUUCAGGAGCUUUCCCAAACGGGGCCGGGAUGAAAGUGCAGCUCCGAGCCUCCUCCGAGAACCACGGCCUCCCAGAGCAUCGCCCACCCUGGCCCCAGCCCCGGCCCCACGUGGGGUCCCCCCGCCCCGGCCCUGGGCGCCCGCCGGUGCUGGCGCCGCGCUGGGGCUGGGCAACCCUCCUUGGCACCGCCACCAAGGAGGCGGCAGCGGGAGGAUGCCGGAGUCCAGCCCCCGGGGCGAGCGGGGAGAGUCCUGCCGGGAAAACCACCGGGAUGGGGCUGGGCAGGGCACGCGCCUCGGGAACAACGGCUCGGCGAGGCCGGAGAGGCCAGGGCAACAGCGAGGAUCCAUCCCCACCAGCACCCUCCCAGCUCCCGCGCGCUCGGAGGGGCUCCUUGGCUUUAUUCGCCGCCUCUUAACGCGCAGAAUGAGGCUGCUUCCUUUCUGCGCUGGUUUUCGGUGGGGUCUGGCUGGUUUUGACACUGGUGCCUGGUGCCCGUUUGGCAAACUGCAAAGAGGAAAACUCUCCGGAGGGAGAUUCCAGGCCUGGGCUUUUGUGGCUGAGGGCUUGGAAACUUCCCACUCCCCUUCUGCGGUCCUCCAGCGAGACCUCCAGCCGGAGUGGGCACACUACCGCGCAGGUAAACCGAGGGCGGCAUUCAGCCUCCUACCCCAACCACUCCCCGUCUCCUCAGACACCUCUGAAGAUGCUGGUUUUUCCUUCCCCUUCUCACCCAGGCCGUCGCCAAGGCGGCACGGCCCCCUCCAAGGCGGAAGGAGCCGGGAAGCAGCCCGCGGGCAGCACCGGUGCGGCGAUGCCAAGCAGCUGCCUGCCCGGUGGGACCCGUCCCUGGCAGGAGCACAAAGAGCUCCGGAGGAGGAGGAGGAGGAAAACAAGGCUGGGAGGGAAAGGCGCUCCCGGGAAUAA